GUGGAUUAGAUACCCUAGUAGUCCACGCAGUAAACGAUGAUAACUGGGCGUAUGCGAUAUACAGUAUGCUCCUAAGCGAAAGCGUUAAGUUAUCCACCUGGGGAGUACGCCGGCAACGGUGAAACUCAAAGGAAUUGACGGGGGCCCGCACAAGCGGAGGAACAUGUGGUUUAAUUCGAUGAUACGCGAGGAACCUUACCCGGGAUUGAAAUGUAGAUGACCGCUCCUGAAAGGGAGUUUUCCUUCGGGACAUCUAUGUAGGUGCUGCACGGUUGUCGUCCACU
rnacentral:rRNA from 1 species